AAACUUCCUCUCUUGUACCCGCAAGAACAACUGCCUCAUCAACAGCAAGAAUUUGUGAAAGAAACCGUCGAGUGCUUGCCUCUUCUAAGCAGACUCUCAGAGGAUAGUAAAACAUUGAAAGAGGAGGGUAUGAGGGUGCAAGAAACUAGUACUGUUGGAGUUAAAGAAGAGAAUAUUACAGUGGCCUUGCACAUUGGACUGCCUAAUAGUGGUGGAGAUUCUCAAGUCGAGACAAAAGUUUUUGACUUUAAUAAGGAAGAAGAGCAACAUGCCAUCAAGAAAAGCGUCCAUGGACACUGCCCCUUCAACACAGAGAAUAGGUUUUGGAUCCCAACUCCAGCUCAGAUCCUUAUAGGGCCUAUGCAGUUUGAGUGCUCCAUAUGCAACAAAACCUUCAAUAGGUACAAUNAACAUGCAGAUGCAUAUGUGGGGGCAUGGAUCUGAAUUCAGAAGGGGACCAGACUCACUAAAAGGAACACAACCAGCAGCAAUGCUGAGGCUACCAUGCUAUUGCUGUGCACAAGGGUGCAAGAACAACAUAAACCAUCCGAGAGCAAAGCCAUUGAAAGACUUCAGAACCCUUCAAACCCAUUACAAAAGAAAGCACGGAGCCAAGCCAUUUAUGUGCAGAAAAUGUGGGAAGACAUUUGCAGUGAAAGGAGAUUGGCGAACCCAUGAAAAGAACUGUGGAAAGCUUUGGUAUUGUACUUGUGGUUCAGAUUUCAAGCACAAAAGGUCUCUCAAAGAUCACAUUAGGUCUUUUGGCAAAGGUCACUCUCCUCAUCCUUCUCUUGAAGGUUUUGAAGAUGACAAAGAAUGCAUCACUGGCUCUGAAGAAGAAGAAUUCGUUCACUAACUAGCUAGCUUGAAAGUGAAACAAUGGAUCGAUCUUUGCCUGUCAUGUUCGUUUUUUCGCUUGUUUUUGGAGUUGAAAGCG
rnacentral:misc_RNA from 1 species